AGUGUAGGUGGCAUUGUAAGUUGAAUGUGAAAUCCCACGGCUUAACCGUGGAACUGCAUUCAAAACUGCAGAGCUAGAGUGUGGGAGAGGCAAACGGAAUGGGUAGUGUAGCGGUGGAAUGCGUUGAUACUACCUGGAACACCAGAGGCGAAGGCGGUUUGCUGGAACAUAACUGACACUGAAACUCGAAAGCGUGGGAUCAAACAGGAUUAGAUACCCUGGUAGUCCACGCCCUAAACGAUGGAUAUUAGACGAGGGAGGUAUCGACUCCUCCCGUGUCGUAGCUAACGCGUUAAAUAUCCCGCCUGGGGAGUACGGCCGCAAGGUUGAA
rnacentral:rRNA from 1 species